GGUUAAGCGACUAAGCGUACACGGUGGAUGCCCUGGCAGUCAGAGGCGAUGAAGGACGUGCUAAUCUGCGAUAAGCGUCGGUAAGGUGAUAUGAACCGUUAUAACCGGCGAUUUCCGAAUGGGGAAACCCAGUGUGUUUCGACACACUAUCAUUAACUGAAUCCAUAGGUUAAUGAGGCGAACCGGGGGAACUGAAACAUCUAAGUACCCCGAGGAAAAGAAAUCAACCGAGAUUCCCCCAGUAGCGGCGAGCGAACGGGGAGCAGCCCAGAGCCUGAAUCAGUGUGUGUGUUAGUGGAAGCGUCUGGAAAGGCGCGCGAUACAGGGUGACAGCCCCGUACACAAAAAUGCACAUGCUGUGAGCUCGAUGAGUAGGGCGGGACACGUGGUAUCCUGUCUGAAUAUGGGGGGACCAUCCUCCAAGGCUAAAUACUCCUGACUGACCGAUAGUGAACCAGUACCGUGAGGGAAAGGCGAAAAGAACCCCGGCGAGGGGAGUGAAAAAGAACCUGAAACCGUGUACGUACAAGCAGUGGGAGCACGCUUAGGCGUGUGACUGCGUACCUUUUGUAUAAUGGGUCAGCGACUUAUAUUCUGUAGCAAGGUUAACCGAAUAGGGGAGCCGAAGGGAAACCGAGUCUUAACUGGGCGUUAAGUUGCAGGGUAUAGACCCGAAACCCGGUGAUCUAGCCAUGGGCAGGUUGAAGGUUGGGUAACACUAACUGGAGGACCGAACCGACUAAUGUUGAAAAAUUAGCGGAUGACUUGUGGCUGGGGGUGAAAGGCCAAUCAAACCGGGAGAUAGCUGGUUCUCCCCGAAAGCUAUUUAGGUAGCGCCUCGUGAAUUCAUCUCCGGGGGUAGAGCACUGUUUCGGCAAGGGGGUCAUCCCGACUUACCAACCCGAUGCAAACUGCGAAUACCGGAGAAUGUUAUCACGGGAGACACACGGCGGGUGCUAACGUCCGUCGUGAAGAGGGAAACAACCCAGACCGCCAGCUAAGGUCCCAAAGUCAUGGUUAAGUGGGAAACGAUGUGGGAAGGCCCAGACAGCCAGGAUGUUGGCUUAGAAGCAGCCAUCAUUUAAAGAAAGCGUAAUAGCUCACUGGUCGAGUCGGCCUGCGCGGAAGAUGUAACGGGGCUAAACCAUGCACCGAAGCUGCGGCAGCGACGCUUAUGCGUUGUUGGGUAGGGGAGCGUUCUGUAAGCCUGUGAAGGUGUGCUGUGAGGCAUGCUGGAGGUAUCAGAAGUGCGAAUGCUGACAUAAGUAACGAUAAAGCGGGUGAAAAGCCCGCUCGCCGGAAGACCAAGGGUUCCUGUCCAACGUUAAUCGGGGCAGGGUGAGUCGACCCCUAAGGCGAGGCCGAAAGGCGUAGUCGAUGGGAAACAGGUUAAUAUUCCUGUACUUGGUGUUACUGCGAAGGGGGGACGGAGAAGGCUAUGUUGGCCGGGCGACGGUUGUCCCGGUUUAAGCGUGUAGGCUGGUUUUCCAGGCAAAUCCGGAAAAUCAAGGCUGAGGCGUGAUGACGAGGCACUACGGUGCUGAAGCAACAAAUGCCCUGCUUCCAGGAAAAGCCUCUAAGCAUCAGGUAACAUCAAAUCGUACCCCAAACCGACACAGGUGGUCAGGUAGAGAAUACCAAGGCGCUUGAGAGAACUCGGGUGAAGGAACUAGGCAAAAUGGUGCCGUAACUUCGGGAGAAGGCACGCUGAUAUGUAGGUGAAGUCCCUCGCGGAUGGAGCUGAAAUCAGUCGAAGAUACCAGCUGGCUGCAACUGUUUAUUAAAAACACAGCACUGUGCAAACACGAAAGUGGACGUAUACGGUGUGACGCCUGCCCGGUGCCGGAAGGUUAAUUGAUGGGGUCAGCGCAAGCGAAGCUCUUGAUCGAAGCCCCGGUAAACGGCGGCCGUAACUAUAACGGUCCUAAGGUAGCGAAAUUCCUUGUCGGGUAAGUUCCGACCUGCACGAAUGGCGUAAUGAUGGCCAGGCUGUCUCCACCCGAGACUCAGUGAAAUUGAACUCGCUGUGAAGAUGCAGUGUACCCGCGGCAAGACGGAAAGACCCCGUGAACCUUUACUAUAGCUUGACACUGAACAUUGAGCCUUGAUGUGUAGGAUAGGUGGGAGGCUUUGAAGUGUGGACGCCAGUCUGCAUGGAGCCGACCUUGAAAUACCACCCUUUAAUGUUUGAUGUUCUAACGUUGACCCGUGAUCCGGGUUGCGGACAGUGUCUGGUGGGUAGUUUGACUGGGGCGGUCUCCUCCUAAAGAGUAACGGAGGAGCACGAAGGUUGGCUAAUCCUGGUCGGACAUCAGGAGGUUAGUGCAAUGGCAUAAGCCAGCUUGACUGCGAGCGUGACGGCGCGAGCAGGUGCGAAAGCAGGUCAUAGUGAUCCGGUGGUUCUGAAUGGAAGGGCCAUCGCUCAACGGAUAAAAGGUACUCCGGGGAUAACAGGCUGAUACCGCCCAAGAGUUCAUAUCGACGGCGGUGUUUGGCACCUCGAUGUCGGCUCAUCACAUCCUGGGGCUGAAGUAGGUCCCAAGGGUAUGGCUGUUCGCCAUUUAAAGUGGUACGCGAGCUGGGUUUAGAACGUCGUGAGACAGUUCGGUCCCUAUCUGCCGUGGGCGCUGGAGAACUGAGGGGGGCUGCUCCUAGUACGAGAGGACCGGAGUGGACGCAUCACUGGUGUUCGGGUUGUCAUGCCAAUGGCACUGCCCGGUAGCUAAAUGCGGAAGAGAUAAGUGCUGAAAGCAUCUAAGCACGAAACUUGCCCCGAGAUGAGUUCUCCCUGAC
rnacentral:rRNA from 1 species